rnacentral:tmRNA from 1 species
GGGGCUGAUUCUGGAUUCGACGGGAUUUGCGAAACCCAAGGUGCAUGCCGAGGGGCGGUUGGCCUCGUAAAAAGCCGCAAAAAAAUAGUCGCAAACGACGAAACCUACGCUUUAGCAGCUUAAUAACCUGCUUAGAGCCCUCUCUCCCUAGCCUCCGCUCUUAGGACGGGGAUCAAGAGAGGUCAAACCCAAAAGAGAUCGCGCGGAUGCCCUGCCUGGGGUUGAAGCGUUAAAACGAAUCAGGCUAGUCUGGUAGUGGCGUGUCCGUCCGCAGGUGCCAGGCGAAUGUAAAGACUGACUAAGCAUGUAGUACCGAGGAUGUAGGAAUUUCGGACGCGGGGUCAACUCCCGCCAGCUCCACCA